CCCCUAGAUGUUCUGGGCCGCACGCGCGCUACACUGAACAGUUCAACAAGUCUUAACCUUGGCCGAUAGGUCUGGGUAAUCUUUGAACGCUGUUCGUGAUUGGGAUAGACCUUUGCAAUUAUGGGUCUUCAACGAGGAAUUCCUAGUAAACGCAAGUCAUCAGCUUGCAUUGAUUACGUCCCUGCCCUUUGUACACACCGCCCGUCGCACCUACCGAUUGAAUGGUCCGGUGAAAUCCUCGGAUCGAGCCGUGGGGCAACUCCGGUUCGAGAAGUUGAUUAAACCUUACCAUUUAGAGGAAGGUGAAGUCGUANCA
rnacentral:rRNA from 1 species